ACUCAGUUUUGUGUUUUACUUCAAUGUAUGACUUUUAUAUCUUCUCUUUGUCUCAAUGGUUGUCUUUAUGCAUAAAAUUGUCUUAUCUUACAGAUGAGGGAAAGGUUGAAACGAGUGUGAUAAUGGAUAAAGGGAAUCUUUUUACAGGUGAGAAGGUUGAUACUAGUAACUUGGAAAAUUUUCUGGAAAAUAUUGGGAUAGCGCUCACAGAAGAUACAGGCAUGGAACUUCUGAACAAUCUGCCAGUUGAUGCCAAAGGAAGGGUAUAUAAGAACAGAUUGAUGAAAGAAGUGACAUGCCUCGAAGGUGAGUGAGAAACAUGAUGAAAAGGCAGGUAAAACUGAGAUCCUUAAGCUUUGAUCAUGUUUUUAAAAACUCUCCCUAUUUUACAGUUUUCAGAUUAUUAGUCCAGCUGUCCCAGCUGUUUAUUACUUCAGUGUUUAUCCUUUACAUGCUUUAGAUACGCUGCUGUCACCAAAGUGGUUUACUAUGGUAGUUCCCAAAUAACGUUGGGCAUCAGAUCACCAGGGGAA